ACGCAUCUAUUUGACAGACCUUGGGGCAGUUGCUGUCUGCUGCUAAGGUUUCUACUACAGAUGCAAGAAAAAAGUGUCUUCGCGUUUUCUGUCUGUCUGAAUUGUGGCAGCCAAGAUUGAAUAGACGAAUACAGAG
ensembl:snoRNA